AAGGUCUCCGUUGGUGAACCAGCGGAGGGAUCAUUACUGAGUUACCGCUCAUCAACCCUUUGUGAACAUACCUUAACUGUUGCUUCGGCGGGUAGGCGUCCCCUAAAAAGGACGUCUCCCGGCCCUCUCCCGUCCGCGGGUGGGGCGCCCGCCGGAGGAUAACCAAACUCUGAUUUAACGACGUUUCUUCUGAGUGACACAAGCAAAUAAUCAAAACUUUUAACAACGGAUCUCUUGGUUCUGGCAUCGAUGAAGAACGCAGCGAAAUGCGAUAAGUAAUGUGAAUUGCAGAAUUCAGUGAAUCAUCGAAUCUUUGAACGCACAUUGCGCCCGCCAGCAUUCUGGCGGGCAUGCCUGUUCGAGCGUCAUUUCAACCCUCAAGCUCUGCUUGGUGUUGGGGCUCUACGGUUGACGUAGGCCCUUAAAGGUAGUGGCGGACCCUCUCGGAGCCUCCUUUGCGUAGUAACAUUUCGUCUCGCAUUGGGAUUCGGAGGGACUCUAGCCGUAAAACCCCCAAUUUUACUAAGGUUGACCUCGGAUCAGGUAGGAAUACCCGCUGAACUUAAGCAUAUCA
rnacentral:rRNA from 1 species